GACGAACGCUGGCGGCGUGCCUAAUACAUGCAAGUAGAACGCUGAAGGAGGAGCUUGCUUCUCUGGAUGAGUUGCGAACGGGUGAGUAACGCGUAGGUAACCUGCCUGGUAGCGGGGGAUAACUAUUGGAAACGAUAGCUAAUACCGCAUAAUAGUAGAUGUUGCAUGACAUUUGCUUAAAAGGUGCAAUUGCAUCACUACCAGAUGGACCUGCGUUGUAUUAGCUAGUUGGUGAGGUAACGGCUCACCAAGGCGACGAUACAUAGCCGACCUGAGAGGGUGAUCGGCCACACUGGGACUGAGACACGGCCCAGACUCCUACGGGAGGCAGCAGUAGGGAAUCUUCGGCAAUGGACGGAAGUCUGACCGAGCAACGCCGCGUGAGUGAAGAAGGUUUUCGGAUCGUAAAGCUCUGUUGUAAGAGAAGAACGAGUGUGAGAGUGGAAAGUUCACACUGUGACGGUAUCUUACCAGAAAGGGGCGGCUAACUACGUG
rnacentral:rRNA from 1 species